AUAAUUAAUUAAUGAUGCUCCGGAUAUAUCCUCCUUCGCUCCAAUGGGUUGUGGCAUUUCCAGGUUUGUCCCCCGCCAGGAUCAAGGCCGCAAUGCACCCCAAUUUUGUACCAGAUCCGGCGAAUACGACCAUGAUCAUGAUGAUGAUGAUGAUGAUAAUAAUAAUCCCAGUACCAUGAUCACCAAGAAAAACAACACACAUCUCCCCUCAGACCUCGACCACGUCUCCUCUAAUUCAUUACAAACCACCUCGCCUAACAACAACAACAAUCAUAUUGUCCAAAGGAGGAAGCAGUCGGCAGAAGCAGCACCAUACCAUUACAACGAUAAUGAUGGUACAUCAGCUUCAACGUUUAUGGGAUCGCCAAGCUUUAGGGAGUACUGCGUUCCCGGUGACUCCGAUCAUCGGAAGGAGAUGGUGAUGAGUGGGGAGAAGGGGAAAAGGAUGAUGCAGAGGGAGGAUAGCAAUAUAUCAUGAUGAUGUGCAGGACCUCUAAUUAAUUAAUAAUAUCGAGGGAUGAUGAUGAUGAUGAUGAUGAUGUGGGAGUAGCUGCUAGUAAUGGUGUUAUAUAUGAGAAAGAGAUAUGGAUGGUUUCCUGAACUGAUGAUGAUCAUGAUCGACAAUUAGGGCGCAUGCAGCUGUUAGGAAGAGCUUCAUCAAUAUAAGCCUUCUGCAGUUAUCACUACCCAGAUCACAUUAAUAAUUCAUUCAUAUACGUACCAACAAUAAUUAAAUAAUUUAAUAUUGUCAUGUGUGUGUGUUUCCAGUCUUCCUUCCGCUCCUAUACGUACCAGCUCCCCAUACGUAUGUUAAUACGUAUAAGUACUGCAACUGCGACAUAAUACUUAAAUUAUUAACAGUACUAACUUGUAAUAUCCAGUUGAUGAAAGG